GGGAAAUGCUGACACCUGCUCCAACGCGGACGGACCUGGAGGACAUUACGCCGAGGGAAAUAAUCGGGUCACAACAGGACAGAUGCUGCAGGAUCCCGCUCAUGGGAGGUCCCUGGAGUCAAGUUCACAGAGACGGGAAGUGGACGGUGGUUCCCAGGGCUGGGGUGGGGGCAGGCGGCAAGGAAUCACCUGGGAUGCACGGAUGUGGCAGGCGCAGGGUGACGUGCCCGCUGUCCCAGGCCUGGGCUCUGACCGGCGACAGUCACCAUGAGCCGUGCCCCGCGUACUGGCCUCCCACGGUGGGCCCCCGGCUGCAGGCACACAAGGAGGGAGCCACCACCUGGCAGAACGAGGUUUAAGGGGGCACCAAAGAACUCAGGAGUCAAGAUAGAUGUUAUUCUAACACAGCGUUUUAAAGAAAUCAAAAUUAAUGCAAAAUGCCCACGAGGAAUAAAAUAGCAACAUUUUACACGCAGACAAGACCAGUCUCGGUGCCACGCUGAGGCGCUCCCGGGCCUGAGGCAAAGGGGAAGCACACCUGUGCGCUCGGCCCUUGCUGUGGCCCCACGUGCCGCUGCACCUGGGGCUCCGUGGCCACGGGGCCACAGUCCAAGGGCGCUGAGAUCCCUGGGAAUAGCCCUCCAUCACUCUCAGCCAGCCCCACCCCCUCAUAUGGGGUAACUCUGGGGGCUCCAGAGGGGCUGAGCCCAGGCGCCCACAGCUCAGUAUCUGCUGCCCAGCCAUCCCCAGCUCACUUCCUGCCUUCUCUACAGAUGCUUUCUUGAAUCCUCAUCUAGUGAAGCAGCUGCUCUCAACCCUUGUCUCAGGCUCUGCACUGGGGGGAAGCCAGCCCCAGGCAGACGUCCAUUAUGAUUCUCUUUAACGUGGCAAACUCUGUGACUCCUGACACCCCUCCUGACCUGGGGCAGGUCACUGGCAGGUCACUUCUGCUCCAGGGCCCCUCACAGGCUGCCAGCCGGGUGUCUUGGGGGCUGCAGUGUCAUCCGAGGGCUCGAGAGGGGAGGCUCCACCCCACAGUCAGCCUGAGCAGUUGGCAGGACUCAGCCCCCUGGCUGAGGAGAUGCUUCAGCUCCCGGCUGAGCGGGCCCCCCCGGGGCAGCUCACAGGGCAGCCACUGGCGUCAUUGGAGCUGGUGAGAGCGAGACGGAAGCCUCGGUCAUUUGGAAGCCGGUCUUGGAAGCGUGGCCCAGUCAUCUGUGUCUUAUUCUGUAGUUAGAAGUGAGUCUCAAGGUGCUGCCCGCGCUCCAGGACAAGGGAGGGACACGGUGUGAAUGCCAGGAGGCAGGAACCGUGGGGCCACCUUGGUGUCUGUCCACUGAUUUUCGCCUUCUUAGUGUAUGGCACCCUGACCUGCUCAGUUCUUCACCCCCAGAGGGGUGCCCUCCCGGACCCCUAUCUGUCUGCCAUGCCGUCUGUGAGGCCUCCGACCUGGCUCCAGAUGCCCUUCUGAUCCCGCCUCCUUCCCUCAGGGCUGGCUGUGCCCACCUCACGUCUCUUCUUGGAAGCUCAGUCCCACCUCAGGGCCUUUGCACCUGCCGUUCCCUCUGCCCGGAAUUCUCUGUCUCCAGACAUCUGCACGGCUCCCCCUUCAGGGUCUCUCACAGGCUGCCGGCGGGUGUCAGCUGGGGCUGCGGUCUCACUGGAAGCCUCAGUCAGGGAAGGAAACCCCUCCUGCAGGCCUCGGCUUCAACACGAGCUCUUUGAAGAUGCAUUCCUGGCCCAGCACAACACUGAGGCCUGUACGGUCGAGUCAGCUCAGCAGCCCAGGGGGCCCUGAUCCCGCACGUUCCCAAGAAAGGCCCAUCUGCAGGCCCGGCCCUACUCCUAGGAUGUCACCUGCUUGCCCCCGGGACGUCCUGCCUGUGAGAAUCUGCACCCUGGACCUCAGCCGGGACGGACGCCCUGGGCUCCUGUGAGAUUCCGCUGGGCCUGGGCCCCCGUUCAGAAUCAGCGGGACCUCUGCAGGGGCUGCAGCCCGGGCCAGCCGCACGCUGGUCAGCCACGCCUACGCGCCCACCUCCCCGUAAAACGCUGGGCCCCAGGGCUCAGGCGGGUGUCCCUGCUUGGCGACAGUCCACGUGGAGAAUUCACGGCUGUCCGCUGACUCCAAGGGCGGACACUGGAAGCUGGCGCCUGGCCUUGCCGGGUCCCGCUCCUCGAGCUUUUGCUCUUUGCUGACUUUAAUCUGUAUCCUUCCCCUGUGAUAAACCGUAAUCACGAGUAGAACAGCUUUUCUGCGGUCUGUGAGUCCUAGUGAAUCAUGCACCCCAAGGGGGGUCUUGGGGACCG
ensembl:lncRNA